GUGAAUCAUCAAAUUUUUGAACGCAAAUUGCACUCUCUGGUAUUCCGGAGAGUAUGCCUGUUUGAGGGUCAGUUUAAAUAAAAAUCGGUGUUGUUGCUGCCUUUCGUGGUGACGCACCGGAUUUGGGUCGUCUUGUCUUUGGUUAAGUGACCUAAAAUUUUGCAUGAUUUUUUUCUAAUGUAUUUAAAUGAUUUUAUGUACUUUUGCGAUACUUAAUACUAAGUGUUGUUAUCCUCAUGACUC
rnacentral:misc_RNA from 1 species